CAGCCGCCGCGGUAAUACGUAGGGUGCGAGCGUUAAUCGGAAUUACUGGGCGUAAAGCGUGCGCAGGCGGUUGUGUAAGACAGGUGUGAAAUCCCCGGGCUUAACCUGGGAACUGCGCUUGUGACUGCACAGCUAGAGUAUGGCAGAGGGGGGUGGAAUUCCGCGUGUAGCAGUGAAAUGCGUAGAUAUGCGGAGGAACACCGAUGGCGAAGGCAGCCCCCUGGGCCAAUACUGACGCUCAUGCACGAAAGCGUGGGGAGCAAACAGGAUUAGAUACCCCGGUAGUCCCUGUCUCUUAUAC
rnacentral:rRNA from 1 species